GUACACCUGCGGGAGUUCCUCGUUGUGGGUAGGGGGUGGAUUCACGGGUUGCUUUCUUAAUGAUGAAUUAGGAAAUUAAUGAUAAGUUUUGGUCUGCCGCUGCGGCGUUCCCCAAACCGGUUCGCCGUUAGCAGCAGCUAACCCAUCCCGAGGCUGCUCUUUGAGGCUGGGCACUGUCAACCGCUCUUAUAACCUCCACAGCUUUUGAGGUACAAAUAUAUCUUUCUGUAUGAAUUAUAUUCACAAAAAGGCUCCAAAAAGCUGUUGUUAAGCGUCACAGAUUGCUGCUUUCAUUGACGAGGGGCAGGGAGGCUUUAGCAGAGCUGUUGCAUGCGGUCUGGGCACGUUUCAGCAGCUGCCGGGGGGGAGCUACACCUGGUGGGGUUUUGGUUGUUUGUCUUCUGAAAAAAACAUUUUUCGUCUUAUUGACACAUCAUGGGGUGACUUCAUUCCUUCGGGGCCAAGCCCGGCUCCUCAUCAGUUUCAGGAGGAACUUCGUUAAAGGGAACAGAGCUUGGCGUUGCAGUGACGGUGUGUAAAGCUCGAGUGUGUUUUCGGAGGAUUGGAAUUAAAAGUGCAGCGAGCGUUGCGAUUUCUCAGAGAUGCUGUAUCAAGAAGUGCUAGAUUUCUUUCCAUUCAGUCUCAACCUGAAGGCUAUUCCUGCUCCAGAACUGGUAUCUGGGUCUGAGAAGUUUGAGGUUCCCAACAUGCAGAUGUAGUCUGAAUGUCAUUACUAGCAGCCUGAAAUGGUCAGGCUGAAACAAAUUGAAUACCGAAUGUACAAUACUGAAAAAAGAUUUCAGUAAUUUAACCUGAUUGAGUAUUUCUUACUGAAGUCAGGCCUCAAGUACCUUUUCUCUUGGAAGAAAACUAAGGGUGGAAGUGAAAAUCCCUUCCCAAUUCUUUGUCCUUUUCCCGGACCACAGAAUUCACUUCUGACACAGGUAAAACAAGUAAUUAUGCUGCCUUUGACAGCUUCACCUUUAUCCUUCUGCUUUUCCCCUUGUUAGCUACUCAUUUCAGAUCCCUUCACCUGUGAAAAAUUUGCUCUGCUACAGAAAGGAAAGGGAGAAUUACUUGAAGUAAUUCACUUCCAUCUGCCUGGCUGCCAGCGCCUUGCUAUGGCUUCCCUUUAAACUGCAGGCAGCACUUUUAUGUAAAAAAAAUGUAAAAAAAAUGGAAAUAGCUGCUCACCAGUUGCAAUGUUAGCCCUUCCUCUUAUGUUUUCUUUGUGAAUGCUCCAUGUUCUUGAAAAUAUUUCAGCCACUUUCUAGAUUUUGUUUGGUUUUGGCAUACUUUAGCGCACAACUUCUCGUGGCCACUGAAUUAUUAAUUACCAGCUGAAAUACCGCUCAAAUCAAGCUCAUAGCACCGCCGUUAAAAAUUAAUCCCAGAGCAAGAGAACUGGGUGCUGCCUGCUGGAGCUCUGCCCGGUGUUACAAUGGGCAAAACUCAUGUGAAGCCGAAGUGUUAGCACCAAGUGCUGGUGUCCCAGCAAAGCCAAAAUGUUAAUACCAAGAGCUGGUGUCCACGAGGCAGGCUCUGGUCUCCCCCUUGCUAUAUAUUUCCUUACGAGAAAGGCUACUACUAUAGAUAGAUGGUUAAACUGUACAGCACAACAGCUUGCUAUUUUUAGCUGUUGUUGAAAACUAAGCUGUAACUAAUCGGAGUAAAACCCAGCAAUUUAAAUAGGAAGAUUAAUCUCCAGCUUCAAAGAGCGUUUCUUUACUGGAUCAAAUUAAUGGGGAAAAGGUCUUUCACAAAUGAGGUUUAAUUACCAAGUGAAGUCAGAGUUACCUCAACCUGGGAUGGCACCAGAUACAAAAAAGAAAAGCAAAAAAAUCCCUUUACUGUUGUAACUAAUCUGAGCUUUGUUGCUUCGAGUUGCACAAAGUAAAUGAGAAAGCACGGUGUGUGCAGCUGCCCACAAAUUUCUGUGUAGUCAAUUAAAGGACAUUGAAUUCCCAUACAGAAAAUACAUCUCUGAAGUGAGCUCUGUCAGCGAGAAUAAAAAGGGAGCUCAAGGAAGGGGCCUUUAGACACUAAGAUGUGAACUAGCACUAAGAUUAAGUAAGUCACAUAACUGAAGAGCCAUUUCAGAAGUGCCUAUGCUUAAAAAUCCUGGUCUCCACAGCAAGCGUACCCUGUAUGGGGAACAGGAACCCGAGUCCAUUUAAAAGAAAAGCAACUUCGGAACGAUUUCAACCUCCUGCUAUCUGUUUCGCAUAAAAGAAAGCCACCUAAGGAUUCAGAAGAAAGAUCUCCAUUGAAGAGCAGAUUAUACAUGCAAUGAAAAUAUCAGAAAUGCCCACUCUAGGCAGGAAAUUGCAUGCGUUUUCAGGUAUGUUUCCUGCCCGAUUUCAGUGCCAGACAUUCGUUUCCAUUUUGUGUUCCCACCACCAGAAUACAGAAGCAGAAAUCAAUCUAACGCAGGACACACGCUGCAGCUCACCGAAAACACUGCUCUGCUGACAAUUUUAAGACCAAUACUCGGCACAGCUUACAUGUGAGAGAUGUUCGCAUGUAAUGGCUGAACAAACAGCUGAGUUCCCAAAGCUACCCAAGUCAGACACCCAAAGCAAAGCCCUAUUUCACCACCAAGAUUCACUGCAGCUAAAGCAAGGGCUCAGCUGAAGGGUAUUACCCAGGCUCCCACUCCUGCCCCACACGAGAAGGGCUUUAAAACAAGGGUGAAUAUAAACAGAAGUCUUACAGCAGCCUUUCACAGCAAGCAAGAGCCAGUCCAGCAGCCUUCAGGCAGAGCCCACCAGCAGCAGCCACACGUGCACCAGUUGCAGAUGUCAACGCAGCCCCCGUACUCGACAUGCAAUGCCUGUAAUUGCAGCUACAUGAGCUACUGGGGCCACAGCAUCUUUCUUAAACAAUGCGUUGUUCACCGAAUCAUCUCAAAGACCCCACCACGGCACGUUUCUACAAGCAGCUCCACAGUCUUCUAAAAAUAACCCUGUUUUCCUCUCCUCAAGUAUAAAAACAAUCCACGGCCACACUGAAAGCUGCCCCAUUCCUCCUUACGUAACACCACUAACAGAGACCAAGAAGAACCCUGGAAAAUGCCAUUAGUAACCAAUACAUUGAAAUUAAAAAUUGCUAAUGAGAUUUAAGACCUGCACACUGACCAAUUUUUAUAGCUGUGGCAUAUGAACUUUGCCUCGUUCUAGUUUCUUAAAUCAUCACCCAGCAUCAAGGACAACUCCGCAUCGCGUACACAGCAUUACAUUGUUUUACUUUCUUCUGUAUUUUGCUUUACUGCUAUUUAUUUUCUCUCCUUUCUAGCUGCACACUUGUUCAUACUACCUUACCCUUCCUCUACUCAGAUUUCUCCUUUGUAGGUGUUUUCAAUUCCCAUGUAAAACAGCUAUUGUGCACGCGGGAAUUAAUCCAGCCUCAUCUUUCCUGACUCAGGCCUGAGAACAUUCUUUAAAAAAAAGUUACAAACAUCUCGUGUUAGUGAUUCACAGUCCCCUUCUCAGAAUUGUUUUCCACAAUUGAGUGAGUUUGUAUACUGCAUUUAAACAGUUUCACGGAAGCGUACCAUGUGGAAAGAAUACAAUCCAAAUGAAUAACGCGUCUCAAACACUGUAACUUCUCGUUAUUGAUCUUUAAGUGGCUUUCGGUUCUGAUCUCCUUCGUUUGCCAACACAAGAUUUCAUACGCAGUGCUCCCGGGUCAGAAGCAAACUCCCCCGAGACCGUCAAAGUAGUGCCAGCAACAGCAGGCUUGGACGAUAACAUCUUCUAUAACACAGCUUUGGUUUUUCUUUAAGCAGUAAAGAAGACAAGAUGCAGCUAUUGCAAUAAAAUCAUACAUUAACACUGUAUGUUGAUUGAGGGUAUUUGAACUCAGAAAGGAGACGUGUAAGUGGCCUUGUGUUUAGCCCUUCAGGUUGAAUUUUCUCCUGCAGUUCGAAGGAAAUGGUCAUCAGCCUAAAAGGGAGCUUCUGCCAGCACAGCUGUGUGGGCCAGGGGCACAGCUCCUGGUCUGCAGGUACCUCCACAUGGGCAUCGCCACACUACUGUAACCAAAACCUCACACCGACAGCUCUCACCUGCCACCACGCAGCAGUACACAUGGACACGGGCUUGCUGGAAAGGCACGGGCUGCCCAAAAACACGCUAGAGCAGGGCUCUGCUCUUCGGGCUGCGCUGAACAUGCUCUGGUUUGAUGUCACUGUGGUUAGAUUCGUUCAGGGCUGCUGGUCACAGCGCUUACCGAAUCCUUCCACGGAAAGAGGACCCAGCCGAGCCCAGCGCUUACCGCAAACUAGCACAGCACAAUUCAACUUCCAUAAAGAGGCCUUCGUAAGAAAACCAGGUUUAUGAUGUAAACAGAGGGCACCACUCAAAUCCGCUUUUUUAAGCAUACGGCAAGCGCAUGAUGAAGUGUUUUUUAAAACAACACAAAAACAACCCCCUGCCCACCUUCUGCCCAGCACACACAUGGAAUAAGCCUGCUUGUCUUAAACAGAAGAGCCAGGCAGUGAGGCGAGGAAGAGGAGGGCCAGAGGACCUUCAUCCCGUGUGCCACCUCACAGGACUGCCUGCUGCUGGCACCCAGCCUCCCAAGAGCAGGGAAAGGCAUUUCAGACGCUGCUCUCCAACAUAUAACGCAAUCAGAACUUCCAGGUGAAGGAAUCAUCGAGGGACGGGCUCUCCAGGACCUGCAGUGAACUUCCACACACAUUUUCCACAGGUUUUUCUUUGCAGGCUGGUGUGGAAGGGUGCUCCUUCCUUCCUCCUCCAGCUGCACCGCGCAAUUAGCAUGAGCUCUCAGCUUCCAGCUCACGAUGAACUCCAGGCUGCGGCUUCAUCUCUUCUGACUUUGAUGUGAUUUUAAAUAUCACUGCUUUUGCCAUUAUGGCCAAUUUAUCAGUUUUCCUUAUUUUGUAAUCUGUGUAGAAUAACCAACACCCUGAUCUCCUGCACAGUUGCGAGCAUGUGAUCUUCUAGAUGAAAGUCUUGCUCGUUAUGAAUUAAUGAACUUUAAAGCCCAGUAAUGUAACACAGAAAAUUAGCUACUGUAUAUAAAGGAUUUCUAAGAUUUUAAAAGAAAUUUAACAGUAAAAACUGGAGUAACAUUAAGGCACAGAAACAACACUUCUGUAUGUAAACUAUUGGUUAAGCUUCAUUCCUUUGUACAUUUUCUUCUGACAAAGCAAUUUAAGCUGCUUUCUUUACAUUGCUGUGGUUAUUUAAGGGCAUUUAACAUAAUUUGAACACCACUAAAAACCUCUUAACUGAAAAGAAACCUAACAAAUUAAGAGCAAGCAGACAGUUCAAACCGAGUUAGCUUCUGAAUGAGCAGUGCUUUGAAACCCAUCCCUACCUGCGGAGUAAUAGCAGGGGCUGGCUCUCCUUGAGCUACACAGUGAACAAAAUACAGCGAGAGGUUUUACUACCAGGACCAUGAGGUCUGUAUUAGACGUCUUACAAACAGGUAAAUGAUGGCAUAAAAGAGCCAGCAGCAGCCUAGCACUCCUAAAGCUAGCGCAAGGCCACACUUCCAAGAUUAUCUAUCAACUGUACUUGGCCUCGUGCUGACCUGGAAACCCUCCUUCUCCCUGCUUAGAAAGCAUAAGAAGGUAAAAGCUUCCAAAUUUAGUAUUUCUAAUUAAGAACGUGGUGAAGUGAUUCUGCUGUGUCUUACUAUACAGUGUAACCCCCAGACAUUUUCACUGUGCAUAGUAAUUUACUGUGUAAAAAUAAUCAUAGGACAUACAAAGGCUGUUUGUAUUAAAAUCCAGAUUUUUUUUUCAACCA